rnacentral:tRNA from 2 species
GCCGUCGUAGCUCAGGGGUAGAGCACUUCCUUGGUAAGGAAGAGGUCGUGGGUUCAAUUCCCAUCGUCGGCU